AUUGAACGCUGGCGGCAUGCCUUACACAUGCAAGUCGAACGGUAACGCGGGGCAACCUGGCGACGAGUGGCGAACGGGUGAGUAAUGCAUCGGAACGUGCCCGGUAGUGGGGGAUAACUGCUCGAAAGAGCAGCUAAUACCGCAUACGACCUGAGGGUGAAAGGGGGGGAUCGCAAGACCUCUCGCGAUCGGAGCGGCCGAUGUCGGAUUAGCUAGUUGGGGGGGUAAAAGCCCACCAAGGCAACGAUCCGUAGCUGGUCUUAGAGGACGACCAGCCACACUGGGACUGAGACACGGCCCAGACUCCUACGGGAGGCAGCAGUGGGGAAUUUUGGACAAUGGACGCAAGUCUGAUCCAGCCAUGCCGCGUGCGGGAAGAAGGCCUUCGGGUUGUAAACCGCUUUUGUCAGGGAAGAAAUCUUCUGAGUUAAUACCUCGGGAGGAUGACGGUACCUGAAGAAUAAGCACCGGCUAACUACGUGCCAGCAGCCGCCGUAACAC
rnacentral:rRNA from 1 species